UAUUAUGAAAUAUGUAAAUAUGUUAAAUUUGAGUAGUAAGAGUUAAGAUCUUGAAACUCAAAGAAUUUGGCGGUGUUUUAGUCUUUUCAGAGGAAUCUGUCCGGUAAUCGAUAAUACACGAUUAAAUUUGCUUGGUUUGGUUAACAACUUGUAUACCGUUGUCAUAAGAAUAUCUUUUGAGGGGAUUUUCUUUAUUUAUAAAUGUAUUUUAUGUCAGAUCAAGGUGCAGUUUAUAGCCAAGAUGGAGAUGGAUUACAUUAGUGUUAAUUAUAUGAAUAUAUAAGUGUGAAGGUAUAUUGAAGGUGGAUUUGAUUGUAAAUUGAUAUUGAUAUUAAUUAUAUUUAUGUAAUAUAUAAUGAUUUUUUGAUUUUGGCUCUAGAAUGUGUACAUAUCGCCCGUCACUCUCGUUUAAAAUGAG
rnacentral:rRNA from 1 species